GUUUGCAACGCACAGAGCCCAUGUGGCUCUGAAAAAUGGCCGCCGCGGCUCCAACAAAAUGGCUGCAAAAACAGAGCGCGGCCUACCGCGUGGUGAUCGUGCGGCACUGCCACGGUAGAAAAGGCUGCUCAGCAAGCGGCCAGGGGCCACAGGGACAGGUGGGGAACAAGGGAGAAGGGUAUGGGCGACAGAGCCCAGCAGGGGAACCUGGGGAGGGGGAACAGAUUACAGGCAGAGCCAAAGCAUC